AUAUUUAAUUUCAAGGUAAUAUUUACUAUGGUAGUGACCAUCCUGUAAGUCUCUUCAGAGAAGCCCAGAAAAGGAACCGAGAGAGAUGCAAAGCCUUCUGCACGUCCCCAUCUACGCCCGAGACCUUUUGAGCAAUAUAGUAAAGGGCAGACUCCUCCAAGAUCAAGCCGUCUCGGUGGGGACUUUGCUCGUAGUCGCUAAUACUAUAAUAACAGGUGGAACGACGGAGGGGAUGCUUAACAUUUGCAACAGGUUCUUCGCACGUAUACUGCGAAAAAUUAAGAACUUUAGGGGCGCAACCCUCCUUCUCCAAACGUGGUGUGUUUGAAGCUUGGAUAAGAAGCAAGUAAAUACGAUAUAACAAAGCUAUAAGGAGACAAAAGUCUCUUUAAAAUUUGUAUGUUCUUUAGUGAGCAAUCAUAUCAACUGUAGUAAGUAUAAGUCUCAAACGAGCUAAUAUACUAAUAAUAGUGCCCAGUUAUCUUGAAACACUAAUAAAUAUAGUCCUAAAUAGGAAAUAUAAAUCGCCAGUGAAAAAAGGGAAUCUUUCUUGAAUGAUGUGAAGUAUUGGCAAACUUGUUCGCAGCACACAAACCUUUUGUUGUAGUAAAAAAUAUUAAAAUUGUCGAUGCUUACUUAGCAAAAAUAGGGUGGGCGCCGUUAAAAAUGGUAAUUGGUAAAGCUUAUAUAAAAGCUCUUUAGAAUAAAGUUGAUCGACUUCAUCCAAGAUUAAAAGCCUACUGAAAAUCUAAAAAGAGGCGCAAAACGUAGACAAAAAGUCUAACCCAGAAAGGAUAGCUUUAGAAAAAUUACAGUGUGAAACUUCCAAGCAGUUUACAUAUACGAAGUGCAAAAAUUAAUACAAAUAAAACUAUUUUUACAAUCAAAAAAACUUAAAAAAAUAAUUAAUCCUUGCUAAACAUCUAAA